rnacentral:rRNA from 1 species
UACGUAGGGUGCGAGCGUUAAUCGGAAUUACUGGGCGUAAAGCGUGCGCAGGCGGUUUUGUAAGCCAGAUGUGAAAGCCCCGGGCUUAACCUGGGAAUGGCAUUUGGGACUGCAAGGCUUGAGUGCGGCAGAGGAGACUGGAAUUCCCGGUGUAGCAGUGAAAUGCGUAGAUAUCGGGAGGAAUACCGAUGGCGAAGGCAGGUCUCUGGGCUGACACUGACGCUCAUGCACGAAGGCGUGGGGAGCAAACAGG